rnacentral:rRNA from 1 species
UACGUAGGGUGCAGGCGUUAAUCGGAAUUACUGGGCGUAAAGCGUGCGCAGGCGGUUUCUUAAGUCAGAUGUGAAAGCCCCGGGCUUAACCUGGGAAUGGCGAUGGAGACUGCAAGGCUAGAGUUUGGCAGAGGGGGGUAGAAUUCCACGUGUAGCAGUGAAAUGCGUAGAGAUGUGGAGGAACACCGAUGGCGAAGGCAGCCCCCUGGGUCAAAACUGACGCUCAUGCACGAAAGCGUGGGGAGCAAACAGG